GAUACUUAAUAAGCAUAUAAUUGAAUUAUGUGGUUGAAAGUUGGAUUGUGGUACUUUGGAUUAGCCAUUGCAUUAGUGCCUUGCUACAGGCUGAAAAUGUGAUUGUGAUAGUUCAGAGUUGAGCACUUAUGGUCCUUCAGACUAGCCACUAUUAAUAUUUGACCAUAGGCUAAAAAUAUGAUUGUAGUAGUUAGAGUUAAGUACUUAUAAUCUUUUGUACUAACUACUCUUGAUGCCCCACCACGGACUAGAAAUGUGGUUG
rnacentral:lncRNA from 1 species